AAAAAAGAUAUCCCCAUCUCAAAUCAUCAAGCACGGAGAGAAAAAUGGACGUCAGACUGCUGGGCUUAGACGCUCCACUGGUUAACGCCCUCCACCACCUAAUUGACGCCGCGGAUGAUGGAGACAAGAUUGCCAAUGCACCCACAAGGACCUACGUCCGAGACGCCAAGGCCAUGGCCGCCACCCCUGCCGACGUGAAGGAGUAUCCCAAUUCCUACGUGUUCGUUGUGGAUAUGCCCGGGUUGAAAUCGGGGGACAUCAAGGUUCAGGUGGAGGAUGACAAUGUGCUGGUUGUCAGCGGAGAGAGGAAGAGGGAAGAGGAGAAAGAAGGUGCCAGGUACGUGAGGAUGGAGAGGAGGGUCGGCAAGUUCAUGAGGAAAUUCGUGCUGCCGGAGAACGCCAAUACCGACGCAAUUUCUGCUGUUUGCCAAGAUGGGGUAUUGACUGUCACCGUCCACAAAUUGCCCCCUCCUGAGCCUAAGAAGCCCAAGGUUGUUGAGGUCAAGAUUGUUUGAAGUUGGAAGGCCCAGCUUUACUGUUGAAAGAUUUAUCUUCUGUUUUGGAUAUGUAGUUAUGUUCGGCUUCUAAGAUCAGAUUAGGAAUUGUGCUGUACUACUGGAACAUGACUUCAUAUGGAUGAUCAUGUUUAGGUCUCUUGUUAACUUUCCUUGUUUUUCUGGGCUGAAUUUUCAGCGGUGCAAUAAAGUAUUCUGUUGUUGCCAAUAACCUGUGCUGCUGCUGUUGUCCUCUCGAAUGGGAAGUCCUUGACAAUUGAGACUAUAAUUCUUCUGGACAAUUGAUCUUAAUUCGCUGUCUCAGAGAAAAUCUGUGUUUUUGUCAAACCACUAAUUCUAUUCUAGUUUGUGGUUUUGUUAGUCGUCAAGAAACUGACCACCCUCAAUUCUUUUACAGCAUCCACUUGACUCCCCCGCAAUUUUGACAAGGGGACUGACGGGGAGAGCAAGAUCACUACACCAGUGUCCAAGAAACAUCAAAGAAGUGGAUAAGUAGUGAUAUCUGCGCAGUUAGUAAUCCAGAAAUACACACAAAAUUUUUGAAGGCCGUCGUUGAUCAUAAAUCUAUGAGAAAUCUAUGCGUAUUGUGACAAAUUAAUAUCGACAGUUAUGAGUGAAUCGAUUGCACAGGAUGAAUACAAACAACAGAUUGUUUGAUAUUGUAUUCAGGGCCGCUAAAAUAUGUCAUACCAAUCAACUGUCUUCAUUAGAGCCACAUUUUAGGCAUUUGAACUGGUGGCCAGUUCAUUCCGCGUCCAUCAAGGAGGUGAACAUGAAGAUGCUAAACGAAUUGAGUUAAUCUAAGUUGGUGGGGGAGGAUGGUAAUUGAAAGCAUGCAUGGUAUAAUUAUAAUAUCACUUCCAAAUUUUGCUCUUGGAAGAAAAUUAGUAGGCCUAGCUACUUAGCAUAUUACGCAACAUGGAAUUGCAACUGUAUCUGGAGGCGUUAUACUGGCUUCUCUUGAAUCCGGACUGCCCAGUAUUCAUGAAAAAAGGUUACUCAAUCAUCCACAAUUUCUUGGGAUUUUAAUUACUUACUUAAUCUAGGGCAAUUGCUCAAAGAAAUUAAAGCCCGGAGGCUUGAAAUCAGUGGUGCACAAGAUGUCUUUCGUUCAAGCAUGGCAACGAUUGAUUUACAAGAGUAAGUCUUAGUCGCAAGGGCCACAAUAUAGAAAACCACACAGUGGCUCUGUUUCUGCUGUCGAUCUUCCUCCACUUAGCAAUUGUCACACUAGCGGCUGCUCAUUUCACAUCAAUCCAUAUGCUAUACCCCAAAGGCUAAAGGCCGCAAAAAAAUAAAACGAAGCACGGAUUGGACGGAAAUCAUACUUCUCUAUGGUGUUUGGGCUGUUAGUGGGAUGCUGGUCAUCGCAAUUGUUCACAGGAGGCUCAAGAAGAAAACCUCGGGAUUCAGGCUCAGCUGCUGAUGCCCACAGCAAUCCUUAGACAGAUAUAGAUAUUAGUAGUAGUAGUUGUUGUUGACUUGAUACUGCUGCUGCUCAUGUGUAGUGCUUAGUAGCUUUCCCAACAAAUCUUCAUUUUCAAAGAGUUGUUUGUUGAAGCCGAAAAUUCUUCUCACAAUAUCUAAUUGGACAAAAAGGUUCAAGCAUUGGGUGCAUGGUCGUAUAACCACCAGAACUGGUUGAACCCAUGCUUGAUGGACCAAUAAUUGGCUAUGUACUGGUCAUGAUAAAUUAUUCACUUAUCACUGAAUAUGACAUACACUCAAAUGUCUUCAGAUUUUAGAUUUCAGUUUUCAUACUUUAGUUUUAUCAAAAGCAUCUUUAGUCUAAUCUAGAACUACCAUUAAUGCGCUCCUAUAUCCUUAAAAAUAUUAAUAUAUAAGAAAUAGAUAAUAAAUUCUACCUCAACAAUAAAAUCAUAACUAAUAGUUACUAAAACGCAACGGAUCUUCUGUCCCACACCCUGUGCCACUCUCUGUCCCACUUUUUAUUAUAUUGCUAUUUCUCAUUCAUAAAUAUCAUGUUUUAAUUCUUUUUUGCUUCCUUAAGAUCCAAUAACUAUUAAUUGAGUAAUACACAAAAUUUAACAAACUCAAAAAAUCAAAAUGCAUAAAAAAUGAGAUUUUUUUAUGAAUUUUCUGCUGUAUUUUUUAAUUUUCUAUUAUAUAUUGCUUUUUUGAAAUUCAGUAAAAAAUAAAUACAACAGUUUAAAAAAACCAAUAUAUAAUAGAAAAUUAAAAAAUGCAGCAGAAAAUUCAUAAAAAAUCUCAUUUUUUAUGCAUUUUGAUUUUUUGAGUUUGUUAAAUUUUUUGUAUUACUAAAUUAAUAGUUAUUGGAUUUAAAGAAACAAAAAGGAACUAAAACAUGAUGUUUAUGAAGGAGAAAUGGCAAUAUAAUAAAAAGUGGGACAGAGAAUGGCACAGGGUGUGGGACAGAAGAUCCGUUGCGAAGAUCUUCUGUCCCACACCCUGUGACACUCUCUGUCUCACUUUUUAUUAUAUUGCUAUUUCUCCUUCACAAACAUCAUAUUUUAAUUCUUUUUUAUUUUCUUAUGAUCCAAUAACUAUUAAUUGAGUAAAAAAUAAAUACAACAACUUCAAAAAACUAAUAUAUAAUAGAAAAUUAAAAAACACAGCAGAAAAUUCAUAAAAAAUCUCAUUUUUUUAUGCAUUUUGAUUUUUUGAGUUUGUUAAAUUUUGUGUAUUACUCAAUUAAUAGUUAUUGGAUCAUAAGCAAAUAAAAAAGAAUUAAAACAUGAUGUUUGUGAAGGAGAAAUAGUAAUAUAAUAAAAAGUGAGACAGAGAGUGGCAUAGGAUGUGGGACAGAAGAUCCGUUUCACAUCUUUGGAGUUUCUUGUUAUUACAAUCAUUAAUUUCAUUCUUUAUUUCUCUAUCACCGCAGAUCUCUUCAUUUUCUUCUAGUUUGACAAAUAAUUUGCUCCCUCUGUUAAUUUUGUAAUUUCAAUUUAAUAAUAUCCAUAAAACUAAAGAUAAUAAAAAAAGAACAUAGCAGUAUAAUAUCUUAGAAAGAGAUUAACAAAAAUAAACACAAGAUAGAAAAUUAGGAUUUUUUUUUGGAUAUUAUAAAUUUAUUGCCUUAAACUAUGAAUUGUUUACCGGUGAAGAGAAUCAGAGGUACUUUACUAUGUUAAGGUGUGACAAGUAUAAUUACAUAAGCCUAAGGAGAACCGAGUGAAAUUGUAAGAAAAAUCAAGUGGUUUCCGGAAUUAUCCCAAAUGAAAAAUGAUUCCGCCACGUUCUGGGACCUGGUAGAACUUCAAAGUUCAAACCCAUUCAAAGCAGAUCCUUCUAGAAGCCUUCCAUUUCCAUGGUUCCUUCUUCUUCUUUUCCCUUCUAGAAACUUCCGAAUUCCAGUUUUCUACCAUCCGCCACCUAUAUAUAUCUGCCAGAAAUAUCGCUUCUACCAUCACGACUGAGCAAAAAAGGUCCCAGAGAAAACCACCCAAUACACAAUCAUUGUCAAUCCCUUUCGGAAUCAAAAUUCGGAAAAAGAUAUCCCCAUCUCAAAUCAUCAAGCACGGAGAGAAAAAUGGACGUCAGACUGCUGGGCUUAGACGCUCCACUGGUUAACGCCCUCCACCACCUAAUUGACGCCGCGGAUGAUGGAGACAAGAUUGCCAAUGCACCCACAAGGACCUACGUCCGAGACGCCAAGGCCAUGGCCGCCACCCCUGCCGACGUGAAGGAGUAUCCCAAUUCCUACGUGUUCGUUGUGGAUAUGCCCGGGUUGAAAUCGGGGGACAUCAAGGUUCAGGUGGAGGAUGACAAUGUGCUGGUUGUCAGCGGAGAGAGGAAGAGGGAAGAGGAGAAAGAAGGUGCCAGGUACGUGAGGAUGGAGAGGAGGGUCAGCAAGUUCAUGAGGAAAUUCGUGCUGCCGGAGAACGCCAAUACCGAUGCAAUUUCUGCUGUUUGCCAAGAUGGGGUAUUGACUGUCACCGUCCACAAAUUGCCCCCUCCUGAGCCUAAGAAGCCCAAGGUUGUUGAGGUCAAGAUUGCUUGAAGUUGGAAGGCCCAGCUUUACUGUUGAAAGAUUUAUAAUUAUGUCUGGCUUCUAAGAUCAGAUUUGGAAUUGUGCUGUACUACUAGUAUAUGACUUCAUAUGGAUCAUCAUGUUUAGGCCUCUUGUUAACGUUCCUUGUUUUUAUGGGCUAAAUUUUCAGUGGUGCAAUAAAGUAUUCUGUUGUUUUCAAUAACCUGUGCUGCUGCUGUUGUCCUCUCGAAUGAGAAGUCCUUGACAAUUGGGACUAUAAUUCUUCUGGACAAUUGAUCUUAAUUUGCUGUUUCAGAGAAAAUCUGUGUUUUUGUCAAACCACUAAUUCUAUUCUAGUUUGUGGUUUUUGUUAGUAGCCAAGAAACUGACUACCCCCAAUGCUUUUUUAUCAUCCACCUGACUCCCCUGCAAUUUUGUUAAGGGGACUGGUGGGGAGAGCAAUAUCACUGCACCAAACAUCAAAGAAGUCGAUAAGUAGCGAUAUCUGCGCAUUUAGUGAUCCAGAAAUAUAUACAAAUUUUUUGAAGGCCAUCGCUGAUAAUAAAUCUAUGAGAAAUCUAUGCGUAUUGUGACAAAUUAACAUCAACAGUUAUGAGUGAAUGGAUUGCAUUUUGUAAUUUCUAAUUUCAUGAAGAUGAAUAUAAAGAACAGAUUGUUUGAUAUCAUAUCCAGGGACGUGAAAAUAUGUCAUUCCCAUCAACUGUCUUCGUUUGUGCCACAUUUUAGGCACUACACCAUGAAUUCAAAGGCAUAUAUUUCGCAUGAACUAGUAUUUGACCUGGUGGCCAGUUCAUUCCACGUCCACUAAGAUGGUGAAUUUGAAGAUGCUUAAACAAAUUGACAUCCGCCAUUAAUCACAAGUCAGACUGAAACCAGCCAUAUCUUCCGAACAUUCUUGGUUGCAAAACUGGCUUUGCUGUAUUAUAGAAGGUGGUUCGAGAAUAUGACCAUGCCACUCCUCGGCCUGUUUAGGGCAGAGCCUUGUCAUCCUCAUAGACCCAACAUUAGCCUUGUUGCAGAUCAAACCAAUGCCAAUCAUUACCAUUACCAUUUCCAAUGCCAAUCUUGUCAAAUAAUCAGCCAGAACAGCGGCUGCAGCGAUGGCGGUUUCUUCCGUGGUCUGCAUACGUUAAUUUAAAAAGAAGAAAAGAUGGAGGAAGGUAAUUGAAAGCAUGCAUGGUAUAAUUACAAUACCACUUCCAAAUUUUGCUCCUCUUGGAGGAAAAUUAAUAGGCCUAGCUGCUUAGCAUAUUGCGCAACUUGGAAUUGCAACUGUAUCUGGACUCUGGAGGCGUUAUACACUUAUACUAGCCUUUCUUGAAUCUGGACUGCCCAGUAUUCAUGAAAAGGUUACGGCUCAAUCAUCCAAAAUUACGUACGAUUUUAAUUACUUUCUAAGGUAAUUGCUCAAGGAAAUUAAACCCCGGAGGCUUGAAAUCAGUGGUGCACAAAGAUGUUAUUCGUUCAAGCAUGGCAACGAUUGAUUUACAAGAGUAAGUCUUAGUCGCAAAGGCCACAAUAUAGAAAACCACAAAGUGGAACAAACCAAAAAAAUAAAAUUAUUUAUCCUGAACCUGUAACAUUUUUCCUUCCCGUGAACGGUUCAAAUUUAUUCACUUCUUCCUUCUUGACGUCAUAUUUGUUUGGGGUUUCCUCAUUGAUCGUGUUCGAACCAAACACCAUCUUCUUUCCUGGUCCUUCACAGUCACAGGUUUUCGUUGAAUUCUUUUUACUGAUCACAUUCUUCUCCAGUUUUUCUGCUACCAUAUCGGACAUAUGUGCCAGCGGCGCCCCAUCUACUCGCCUUGCUAAGCCUGAAAACGCUACAAACUUAGGCUUCUCCUCUUCAGCCUUCUGCGAGGCUUUCUUCUCAGGUUCCUUGUAAUCCAAAGGAGCCGCAAAAUCUACCUCACAAUCCGUGUCAAUGAUACUAAUUGCAGGGCUUGGUUCGGCCUCAAGUACGUCAAUCUGAAACUUCUUCUUAUCGUGAGAGAUUGUGAUCGUGUCUCCGGUUGUCAAACAAGCAUAUCUUUGGAGGGUUUUCUCCAAAACAGCUUUAGGAUUGGAAAGAUUGAUGAAAUCAGUUGUAUGCGGCUGCAACUUCACGAAAGUACCCUUAGGAAGAUAGACGCUCUUGAGGAGUACGAGGUCUCCUUCGAGGAUCUUCAAGCUGUCCAUCAUCCACUGUGGAGCGAAGAUUGAGCCCUCUUCGGCUGUGAACUCCAAGACUCCACAAUGAGAAGUGCGGCCACCAGAAUCGUCAUAAAUAUUUUGUAUAGAAAACAUCAUGGGGUAAUGAAUCCUGAGAGCAGAAAGGCAAUCUAAAGCCGAAGCAGGCAUCGGAAUUUUGUUUCCCUCGUCGAGUUUAUGUUUCUGGAUUGUAGCGAAAGAAUGGCAAAAGUAGUGCUGCACAAAUUGAUUGUAUUCUCCCAAAUUUGUUAGAGGAGUUGUUAGGGAGUCCAUUGUCAAGCACAAGACAGCAUACACGCAAGAAAUCAUGAACAUUAACCUGCAUGUACAUAUAUAUAGUGUUUACCUCUGGAAAUUCGAUUCCCAAACUAAGAAGGAAAAGAGAAUUUGUUUCCUAUACAAAGUAGGUUAUUAGUAAAAUUACUUCGCUUAAAAAAUGAAGUUUUAGAAGUUUAUCAUUAAGAUUUAAUUAGUAGAUUCAUAAUUUAUCGAUUAGGCAUUGUAUGUGGGGGUUUGUUGUUUAGUCGUUUCUUGAUUAUCAAGUCCUAGGAAGUUUCAAGUAGGUAUUUAUUAACGUACAAUUUAGAUAGGCCAAAGAGCAGAGUCAAGUUCUAAAGAUUUUGCAUUUAUAUUUUUGAAAUAUGAAAUUAUGAAUUGCAUUGCCAAUUUAUUCUCUAUUUAGUUUAUGAUUAUUGAUUGUUAAAAAUUUUAUGUUAAAUUUGUCUCAAAGUUUAAUAUAGAACUGAAAGCAAAAAAAAAAAAAGUGGAUUAAGCGGUGAAGUCACUCUUAAAUUUUGGUAUUUAUUUUGUGUAGAAUGUUAGAACCUUUGAACCAGAAGUAGUCAGAAUUCCUUCAUUUGAUCCACAAUUAAAAAACCAAAAAUUAAAAAAGAAAAUUUUAAAAUUUCUUCAGCAAUAUCUUCAACAUAUAGUCAUUAGAUGACUGAAAAAUAUUGAAGAAUUUUGGUCGCCAAAAUAGUGAAAAUUCGUCUCCUAUAUUUGUACAAACUUUUGCAAUAUGUACAAUUUUUCUUUCUUUUUUUGGUUUAUCCUUGUAACAGUACAUGUUGUACAAAUUUCUAGCGCAUAAUAUUCACAAAUUUUUCCUCCAAUAUUAUGUCCUCGUACUGUUUCGUUUGGAUUGAAGAAUCUAAUGAAACAUUUGAAAUCCACCCAAAUUGUUCCAAUUGCUUGAAUUAUUUAAGAGACAUUUGGGCAUAUAAUUCACCAAUUAUCUAAAUAUAUGUAUAAAAUUAAAAUAAAUUAAUACUUUAUAAAUUUAAAUACCUCUUAAAUAAUUUAAAUAAUUAGAGAAAUUUGACAGUAUUUUAACAAAAUGCGGCCCAAAUGGAUUCCAAAUAAGACAACAAGAGGAGAAAAAUUCAAAGAGAAAGGGUACAAAAGAGAAAAGUCAACCAGAGUUUUUCUUCUAGUGGUUUCCGCCGCGUUCUGGAUCAGUGUAGAAGUCGAACUCAGAAACUAGUAGAAAGAACCAGCGAAUAAAAGAACUUACCAGAAACUUUCCGCGCCUUCCUUCUUUUCCCUCCCCCCUCCACAAAACUUCCAAACUGAAGUUCUUCUCCCACCUCGAUAUAUACUCACUUCCUCUCCAUUCCCUUCUCAUCGAGAUUACAGCAAUUUUCAGAUCAUAGAAAAAGUGAAAAGAGGCAAAUAUCUCAUCGAAAAUAUCCCAAAUCAAGAAGAGAAAAAUGGACGUGAGGCUAAUGGGAUGGGAUACCCCACUCUUCCAAACCAUCCAGCACAUGAUGGACGCCGCGGACGAUGCAGACAAGACCGUCAACGCUCCGUCGAGGACCUUCGUUCGAGAUGCUAAGGCAAUGGCUUCCACUCCGGCUGACGUCAAGGAAUAUCCCAAUUCCUACGCGUUCAUUGUGGAUAUGCCGGGGUUGAAGUCGGGGGACAUCAAGGUUCAGGUGGAGGAAGACA
rnacentral:lncRNA from 1 species